rnacentral:rRNA from 1 species
UACGUAGGUGGCGAGCGUUGGCCGGAUUUACUGGGCGUAAAGGGAGCGUAGGCGGACUUUUAAGUGAGAUGUGAAAUACUCGGGCUCAACUUGAGUGCUGCAUUUCAAACUGGAAGUCUAGAGUGCAGGAGAGGAGAAUGGAAUUCCUAGUGUAGCGGUGAAAUGCGUAGAGAUUAGGAAGAACACCAGUGGCGAAGGCGAUUCUCUGGACUGUAACUGACGCUGAGGCUCGAAAGCGUGGGGAGCAAACAGG